AACAGUGGGAGCUGCGCUUGUGGAAUGACAGGUACGUGUGACAAACCAGGCCUUCUGUGCAACUGUGACAGCAAUGAUCACAUCUGGAGGAGUGAUGAGGGAAUCCUCGCAGACAGGAGUGCUCUGCCAGUGAGGGCUGUGCAAUUCGGGGACACUAAGGACAUCCCGCUGGAAAUGGCAUUUCACAACAUAGGCAAAUUCACCUGCAGAGGAAGGGGGUCCCCCAUUCCAUGAAAGUGUUUUAUAUCACUUGAUGCAUCGCUGCCUUGGUUUCUUCUUCAUUAUUAACUCUUCUUGGACUUGAAUUGGUGUCUCAUACGUCUUUGUGUAGUUCAAUCAACAUCUCCAAACAGCUAGCAACAGAACUGUCAACACUGUAAUGGAGUCCUA